UGCCAGCCGCCGCGGUAAUACGGAGGGGGCUAGCGUUGUUCGGAAUUACUGGGCGUAAAGCGCGCGUAGGCGGAUUGAUCAGUUGGGGGUGAAAUCCCGAGGCUUAACCUCGGAACUGCCCUCAAUACUGUCAGUCUAGAGUUCGGAAGAGGUAAGUGGAAUUCCUAGUGUAGAGGUGAAAUUCGUAGAUAUUCGGAGGAACACCAGUGGCGAAGGCGGCUCACUGGCUCGAUACUGACGCUGAGGUGCGAAAGUGUGGGGAGCAAACAGGAUUAGAUA
rnacentral:rRNA from 1 species